CCCGGUAAACGGCGGCCGUAACUAUAACGGUCCUAAGGUAGCGAAAUUCCUUGUCAGGUAAGUUCUGACCCGCACGAAAGGCGUAACGAUUUGGGCGCUGUCUCAGCUGUAGACUCGGUGAAGUCUUAGUACCUGUGAAGAUGCAGGUUACCCGCGACUAGACGGAAAGACCCCAUGGAGCUUCACUGCAGGUUGAUAUUGGGAUUUGAUGCAGCAUGUACAGGAUAGGUAGGAGGCAAAGAGAUGGAUACGCCAGUAUUCAAGGAGCCGCUGUUGGGAUACUACCCCUGUUGUAUUGGAUUUCUAACCGGACGACGUAGAGCCGUUGACGGGACAGUGUCAGUCGGGCAGUUUGACUGGGGCGGUCGCCUCCCAAAGAGUAACGGAGGCGCCCAAAGAUACCCUCAGCUUGGAUGGAAACCAAGCGCAGAGUGCAAAGGCAAAAGGGUGUUUGACUGCGAGACCUACAAGUCGAGCAGGGACGAAAGUCGGGCUUAGUGAUCCGGCGGUGCUGAAUGGAAAGGCCGUCGCUCAACGGAUAAAAGCUACCCUGGGGAUAACAGGCUGAUCUCCCCCAAGAGUUCACAUCGACGGGGAGGUUUGGCACCUCGAUGUCGGCUCAUCGCAUCCUGGAGCUGAAGUCGGUUCCAAGGGUUGGGCUGUUCGCCCAUUAAAGCGGUACGCGAGCUGGGUUCAGAACGUCGUGAGACAGUUCGGUCCCUAUCUGUCGUGGGCGCAGGAAAUUUGAGAAGAGCUGUCCUCAGUACGAGAGGACCGGGAUGGACGCAUCAAUGGUGGACCAGUUGUCACGCCAGUGGCAUAGCUGGGUAGCUAAAUGCGGAAGGGAUAAACGCUGAAGGCAUCUAAGUGUGAAACCCACUUCAAGAUGAGAUUUCCCAUUGCGCAAGCAAGUAAGACCCCUUAAAGACGAUAAGGUAGAUAGGUCAGGAGUGUAAGCAUGGUGACAUGUUAAGCGGACUGAUACUAAUAGGUCGAGGGCUUGACCGA
rnacentral:rRNA from 1 species